GACGAACGCUGGCGGCGUGCCUAAUACAUGCAAGUUGAGCGCUGAAGGUUGGUACUUGUACCAACUGGAUGAGCAGCGAACGGGUGAGUAACGCGUGGGGAAUCUGCCUUUGAGCGGGGGACAACAUUUGGAAACGAAUGCUAAUACCGCAUAAAAACUUUAAACACAAGUUUUAAGUUUGAAAGAUGCAAUUGCAUCACUCAAAGAUGAUCCCGCGUUGUAUUAGCUAGUUGGUUAGGUAAAGGCUCACCAAGGCGAUGAUACAUAGCCGACCUUAAAGGGGGAUCGGCCACAUUGGGACUGAGACACGGCCCAAACUCCUACGGGAAGCAGCAGUAGGGAAUCUUCGGCAAUGGACGAAAGGCUGACCGAGCAACGCCGCGUGAGUGAAGAAGGUUUUCGGAUCGUAAAACUCUGUUGGUAGAGAAGAAAGAUAGUGAGAGUGGAAAGCUCAUCAAGUGACGGUAACUACCCAGAAAGGGACGGCUAACUACGUG
rnacentral:rRNA from 1 species